rnacentral:tRNA from 1 species
GCAAUAGUGAAGUGGUAAGGCGUCAGCCUACCACGCUGAAGGCCCGGGUUCGAUUCCCGGUGGAGGCA